UGUAAGCGUAUACCAAAGUUGUUGCAGUUAAAACGCUCGUAGUCGGAAUUUGGCAGUUCCGGAUGUGUGCACGUCGUGUGCGCACUUCGCGGGGAUUGCUUUUGUGGUCUUGCGUAGGAUGAGGCACUUUUAUUAGUGAACGUCCUCACGCAACCACUUUUUACUGUGAGAAAAUCAGCGUGCUCAAAGCAGGCAUUUGCCGUGAAUGUAUUAGCAUGGAAUAAUAGAAUAGGACUUGGUUCUAUUUUGUUGGUUUGUUGGGACUGAGUAAUGAUUAAGAGGGACAGUUGGGGGCAUUUGUAUUUCGGUGCUAGAGGUGAAAUUCUUAGAUUACCGAAAGACAAACUGCUGCGAAAGCGUCUGCCAAGGAUGUUUUCAUUGA
rnacentral:rRNA from 1 species